UACGUAGGGUCCGAGCGUUGUCCGGAAUUAUUGGGCGUAAAGAGCUCGUAGGCGGUUUGUCACGUCUGCUGUGAAAUCCCGAGGCUCAACCUCGGGCCUGCAGUGGGUACGGGCAGACUGGAGUGCGGUAGGGGAGAUUGGAAUUCCUGGAGUAGCGGUGGAAUGCGCAGAUAUCAGGAGGAACACCGAUGGCGAAGGCAGAUCUCUGGGCCGUAACUGACGCUGAGGAGCGAAAGCGUGGGGAGCGAACAGG
rnacentral:rRNA from 1 species